GAUGAACGCUGGCGGCGUGCCUAACACAUGCCAGUCGAGCGAACAGACGAUGAGCUCGUUCUUCUGACGUUAGCGGCGGACGGGUGAGUAACACGUGGAUAACCUUCCUAUAUUACUUGGAUAACUUCGGGAAACCGGAGCUACUACUGGAUAAUAUAUUGAACCGCAUGGUUCAAUAGUUAUUGACGGUUUUGCUGUCACUUAUAGAUGGUUCCGUGUCGGAUUAGUUAGUGGGUAAGGUAACGGCUUACCAAGGCAACGAUGCGUAGCGGAACUGAGAGGAGGAGCAGCCACAAUGGAACGGAGACACGGUCCAGACCCCUAAGGGAGGCAGGAGUGGGGAAGAUUGGAGAAUGGGCGAAAACCGGAACGAGCCAGACCGCGUGGGGGAAGAAGGCCUUCGGGUUGUAAAACCCUUUUGUUGGGAAAAAAAAGAAGGAGGAUAAAACCCCGCUGUUCUGACGGUACCCAAAGAAGAAGCACCGGCUAACUUCGUG
rnacentral:rRNA from 1 species